rnacentral:lncRNA from 1 species
GGAAAUUUACUUUCUUAAGCUUGUAUCCUUCAGGCAGGAGUGUAGGCAAUGGGAAGAAAAUUUUGUCAGUGGCUCCUCAUGGUCCCCUGUUCAGCAGACAUUUCUAACCUUCCUCAAGGCCACCAACCCUUGUGAAAGAAGCACAGAUAUAAUUUCCCAGCUGCCAAGCCAUUCUCCAAUAGACAGAUAAAGUUGUUGAAACCCCACUUACGGUGAAUCUCCACAGCCCCCCAAGGUCAUCGCUCCUCUCAAAGCAGGUGAAUUCUCUUCUCAAAGCUGGAUAUGCAUCUUUUUUUGUUUUGGAUUAGGAACCUGAGAGAAGCAGCUCAACUGUAGAGACUAAAAUAUUCAAUAUUUUAGUCUUAACUGUAGAGACUAAAAUGCUCAAUUUUUUUUAAUGAAAUAAAA